GAUGAACGCUGGCGGCGUGCCUAAUACAUGCAAGUCGAGCGAACAGAUGAGGAGCUUGCUCCUCUGACGUUAGCGGCGGACGGGUGAGUAACACGUGGAUAACCUACCUAUAAGACUGGGAUCACUUCGGGAAACCGGAGCUAAUACCGGAUAAUAUAUUGAACCGCAUGGUUCAAUAGUGAAAGACGGUUUUGCUGUCACUUAUAGAUGGAUCCGCGCCGCAUUAGCUAGUUGGUAAGGUAACGGCUUACCAAGGCAACGAUGCGUAGCCGACCUGAGAGGGUGAUCGGCCACACUGGAACUGAGACACGGUCCAGACUCCUACGGGAGGCAGCAGUAGGGAAUCUUCGGCAAUGGGCGAAAGCCUGACGGAGCAACGCCGCGUGAGUGAUGAAGGUCUUCGGAUCGUAAAACUCUGUUAUUAGGGAAGAACAAAUGUGUAAGUAACUAUGCACGUCUUGACGGUACCUAAUCAGAAAGCCACGGCUAACUACGUG
rnacentral:rRNA from 1 species